rnacentral:rRNA from 1 species
ACAUAUUUUAGAGCUAAAAUCAUUUUUAUAAAAUAAUAAAAAUUACUUUCAAAUCCAAAUUCAACCUAUUAUAAAAAUAAGAAUCCUAAAAUAAAUUAAAUGUAACCCAUUUCUUCUUUAUUAUAAACUACACCUUGAUCUGAAUUAUUUUUUUAACAAAAUCUUAAAUAUUAAAUUUCUAUAAAAAUAUUUAUAUAACAACGAUAUGUAAACUAAUAAAAAAAGUAAAUUUAAUCGUGGAUUAUCAUUUAUGAAACAGGUUCCUCUGAAAAGAUAAAAUACCGCCAGAAUUUUUAAUUUUAAAGAUUAUAUCUAAUACUAAUUUAAUUUUAAUUAUUACUUUUCCAAUAAUAGGGUAUCUAAUCCUAGUCUAUAAAUAAAUUUUCUCAACUUCAUUAACUUAUACAAAAUUAUUAAAAAAUUAAAAUUUCACCUAAUAAUUUUUUAACAUAACUUUAUACUUAAAUAAAUUGUUAUUAAUAAAAUUAAAUAAUAUUAUUUGGAUAACCGCA